rnacentral:rRNA from 1 species
UUUAGGAAUAUUGGGCAAUGGAGGGAACUCUGACCCAGCAACGCCGCGUGAAGGAAGAAGGUUUUCGGAUUGUAAACUUCUGAUCUGUGGGAAGAAGAAAGUGACGGUACCACAGGAGCAAGCCACGGCUAACUACGUGCCAGCAGCCGCGGUAAUACGUAGGUGGCGAGCGUUGUCCGGAAUAACUGGGCGUAAAGGGAGUGUAGGUGGCAAUUUAAGUGAAAUGUGAAAGACCAAAGGCUCAACUUUGGAACUGCAAUUCAUACUGGAUAGCUAGAGUGCAGGAGGGGUAUGUGGAACUCCUAGUGUAGCGGUGGAAUGCGUAGAUAUUAGGAAGAACACCAGAGGCGAAGGCGACAUACUGGACUGUAACUGACACUGAGACUCGAAAGCGUGGGGAUCAAACAGGAUUAGAUACCCUGGGUAGU